GACGAACGCUGGCGGCGUGCUUAACACAUGCAAGUCGAACGAUGAACCCGGAGCUUGCUCCGGUGGAUUAGUGGCGAACGGGUGAGUAACACGUGAGCAACCUGCCCUUGACUCUGGGAUAACUGCGGGAAACUGUAGCUAAUACCGGAUACGACCCUCGGCGGCAUCGCCAGGGGGUGGAAAGAAUUUCGGUCAAGGAUGGACUCGCGGCCUAUCAGCUAGUUGGUGAGGUAACGGCUCACCAAGGCGACGACGGGUAGCCGGCCUGAGAGGGUAACCGGCCACACUGGGACUGAGACACGGCCCAGACUCCUACGGGAGGCAGCAGUGGGGAAUAUUGCACAAUGGGCGCAAGCCUGAUGCAGCAACGCCGCGUGAGGGAUGACGGCCUUCGGGUUGUAAACCUCUUUUAGUAGGGAAGAAGCGAAAGUGACGGUACCUGCAGAAAAAGCACCGGCUAACUACGUGCCAGCAGCCGCGGUAA
rnacentral:rRNA from 1 species